rnacentral:rRNA from 1 species
CCUACGGGGUGCAGCAGUGGGGAAUAUUGGACAAUGGGCGAAAGCCUGAUCCAGCCAUGCCGCGUGUGUGAAGAAGGCCUUCGGGUUGUAAAGCACUUUCAGUGGGGAAGAAAGCCUUGGGGCUAAUACCCGCGAGGAAGGACAUCACCCACAGAAGAAGCACCGGCUAACUCCGUGCCAGCAGCCGCGGUAAUACGGAGGGUGCGAGCGUUAAUCGGAAUUACUGGGCGUAAAGCGCGCGUAGGCGGUCUGAUAAGCCGGUUGUGAAAGCCCCGGGCUCAACCUGGGAACGGCAUCCGGAACUGUCAGGCUAGAGUGCAGGAGAGGAAGGUAGAAUUCCCGGUGUAGCGGUGAAAUGCGUAGAGAUCGGGAGGAAUACCAGUGGCGAAGGCGGCCUUCUGGACUGACACUGACGCUGAGGUGCGAAAGCGUGGGUAGCAAACAGGAUUAGAUACCCGUGUAGUC